AGAGUUUGAUCCUGGCUCAGAUUGAACGCUGGCGGCAUGCCUUACACAUGCAAGUCGAACGGCAGCGGGGACUUUGGUCCGCCGGCGAGUGGCGAACGGGUGAGUAAAGUAUCGGAACGUACCUUUCAGUGGGGGAUAACGUAGCGAAAGUUACGCUAAUACCGCAUAUUCUGUGAGCAGGAAAGCAGGGGAUCGCAAGACCUUGCGCUGAUUGAGCGGCCGAUAUCAGAUUAGCUAGUUGGUGGGGUAAAGGCCUACCAAGGCGACGAUCUGUAGCGGGUCUGAGAGGAUGAUCCGCCACACUGGAACUGAGACACGGUCCAGACUCCUACGGGAGGCAGCAGUGGGGAAUUUUGGACAAUGGGGGCAACCCUGAUCCAGCCAUGCCGCGUGAGUGAAGAAGGCCUUCGGGUUGUAAAGCUCUUUCGGCCGGGAAGAAAUCGCAUAGGUUAAUACCCUGUGUGGAUGACGGUACCGGAAUAAGAAGCACCGGCUAACUACGUGCCAGCAGCCGCGGUAAUACGUAGGGUGCGAGCGUUAAUCGGAAUUACUGGGCGUAAAGCGUGCGCAGGCGGUUUAGUAAGACAGGCGUGAAAUCCCCGGGCUCAACCUGGGAACUGCGCUUGUGACUGCUAAGCUAGAGUACGGCAGAGGGGGGUGGAAUUCCACGUGUAGCGGUGAAAUGCGUAGA
rnacentral:rRNA from 1 species